AACGAACGCUGGCGGCAUGCCUAACACAUGCAAGUCGAACGAGACCUUCGGGUUUAGUUGCUAACGGUUGCGUAACGCGUGGGAACCUGCCCUUAGGUUCGGAAUAACUCCCCGAAAGGGGUGCUAAUACCGGAUAAUGUCUUCGGACCAAAGAGUUAUCGCCAUUGGAUGGGCCCGCGUUGGAUUAGCUAGUUGGUAGGGUAAGAGCCUACCAAGGCGACGAUCCAUAGCUGGUCUGAGAGGAUGAUCAGCCACACUGGGACUGAGACACGGUCCAGACUCGUACGGGAGGCAGCAGUGGGGAAUAUUGGCCAGUGGGCGAAAGCGUAGUCCAGCAGUGUCGCGUGAGUGAUGAAGGCCUUAGGGUUGUAAAGCUCUUUUACCCGGGAUGAUAAUGACAGUACCGGGAGAAUAAGCUCCGGCUAACUCCGUG
rnacentral:rRNA from 1 species